GGGACUUCACGGGCGCCUU
rnacentral:misc_RNA from 1 species